rnacentral:rRNA from 1 species
AUUGAACGCUGGCGGCAGGCCUAACACAUGCAAGUCGAGCGGGGUUUUCGGACCUAGCGGCGGACGGGUGAGUAAUGCGUAGGAAGCUGCCCGAUAGAGGGGGAUACCAGUUGGAAACGACUGUUAAUACCGCAUAAUGUCUACGGACCAAAGUGUGGGACCUUCGGGCCACAUGCUAUCGGAUGCGCCUACGUGGGAUUAGCUAGUUGGUGAGGUAAUGGCUCACCAAGGCGACGAUCUCUAGCUGGUUUGAGAGGAUGAUCAGCCACACUGGAACUGAGACACGGUCCAGACUCCUACGUGAGGCAGCAGUGGGGAAUAUUGGACAAUGGGCGCAAGCCUGAUCCAGCCAUGCCGCGUGUGUGAAGAAGGCCUUCGGGUUGUAAAGCACUUUCAGCGAGGAGUAAGGGUGGUGUGUUAAUAGCACAUCAUUUUGACGUUACUCGCAGAAGAAGCACCGGCUAACUCUGUGCCAGCCGCCGCAGUAAUAC